GGCAGUGUUGUAUAGUGGGGAAAGUACAUUAUUUGAAGUCAAAAGACAUGAGUUUGAAUUCCAUCUCUGCCA
rnacentral:tRNA from 1 species